rnacentral:lncRNA from 1 species
UAUUUAUCGUUUAAUUUGUAUUAUUUCAUUAAAAUGUCCAUGUAUUUGCAUAAUGAUUAAGUGGCACCCCUGACAGUAUGAUAAAUAAUCGAGAAUGCUAUCAUUUCGAUUCGAUUCGAAAAUAGUCGAACGAUAAUCGAAACAGCCAUAGAAGCAAUCGAAAGAAAAGGUACAUAAGUUCCAGGUAAGAUCUUUGAGGAAGUUUUUUUUCUUUGAGAAGCGGAAAUUUGAUCGGAAUGGGACAAUAAUUUAAAUCGUGGACUCUCACUUGGAUAUAGGGUGCCUCUUCUUUGCGAGUGUGUGUGUGUGUGUGUGUGUGUGAAUUGGUGUGUGGGAGAGGGGAAUACCGUUGGUUGAAAUAUAUACUAUAUACGUACGAGUAUAUAUAGAUUUGGUUGGGUUGCUGGAGUUGUUUCCGUGUAUUAGUUAAAUGAACAACAUUUAUAUUUUCUGUUUUUUUGUGGGUUUUUGUUUUGUUUCAAAAUAUGCACGUCAUGUAUGUAUAUAUAAUAUGAUGUAUGUAUAUAUAAUGUAUAUAUAUCUAUUUAUAUAAGUAAUAGACACCGAAAACCACAUGUACAUUUAUGUAUCUGUAUAUAGAUAUAUUCUGGUAUAUAUCGUAUAAUAUUUGGAUUCUCUUAUGCUCUUAUCUGACAUUCAACUGACAUUCGCGCUUAGCCUGCGUCUCCUAGUCGCUGUCGCAGUUGCUGUCGCUUUUGCAGUGGCCGUCGCUGCAGGGCUCCUAACUCUAUUUAUAUAUAAAUAAAUAUCAUUAUUUAAAAAUGCAUUAAUUGUUAAUGCCAAAAGUUUUUCGUUGUUGGAUUUUGUAAUUUAAUUUGCUGUUACACGUAUUUUUCCUGCACGUUGUCAAUGCCCUUAAAAAAAACCCUCGCUUGCACUUUGCUCGCAUCCCACAUCAUAUACAUAGUCUGCAUGUAUAUAUGUGCGUAUUUAUGUGUGUAUAUAUAUAUAUGGUAAAUUUGUAAUAUAUGUAUAUGUAUGUAUAUACGAAAUAAGAGUCUUGAAUCCCUCCAAUUUUUGGCUUAAAAUCAAUUGUUCUGCUCCUCCUAUCCUAUCCUCAGCCUCAGCACAUUCACAAAAAAAUUCAAGUAUUUCUAUUCAAUUUUUGUUAUCCUUAAGUUUUUUUUUUUGUUUAUUUUGUCCGAUGGUUAUUCUGCCACUUAUGGGUUUCGUUUUUUGUUUUGUUUUGUUUUGUUUUUUUUUUUUUGUUUAAUUUUAAUUUUUAUCAACAUUUACUUGCACACACACCUAUGAAAAAAUUACUAUAAGUUUAGAUUUAAAUUUUUGUUUUUUUCUUUAAUUUUGUUAAUAUUGCUUUCCUUCUUCUGGUGUUCCUAAAGUAUUUUUCUUUUAUCGAAAUCGAAUUUUCAAGUUUCAUUUUUAUUUUUGGUUUUAGUAUUUUUGUUUUGCAUUUCGCUUAUUUCCCUUACGAUAAUUUCCUAAAAUUCUUUUAAGGCGCAUUAUUCAACUACAAAAUGAAGAGUUAAAGGACUUUGGAUUUUGGGUUAAAUUAAGUAAGAAAUCGACGGAUGAGAUUGGAUGUGUUUGAAUUUAUGAGACGGAUGCGAUCGAUAAACGAAAAAGUUCAACAAAAAAGGUUCAUUGCAAAAAAACUUUAUUAAUAAAUACUAUCAAAUAAUAAAUCCAAAAAAAUUGAUAAUAAUAUUUUUCAU